UUCCAUCUGGAAGAAUCUGGAGACAGGUGCUGCAUGGCUGUCGUCAGCUCGUGUCGUGAGAUGUUGGGUUAAGUCCCGCAACCGAGCGCAACCCUUGCCUUUAGUUGCCAGCAGUUCGGCUGGGCACUCUAAAGGGACUGCCGGUGUUAAACCGGAGGAAGGUGGGGAGUGACGUCAAGUCCUCAUGGCCUUUAUGACCAGGGCUACACACGUACUACAAUGGCCGAUACAAAGGGCAGCGACAUCGCGAGGUGAAGCCAAUCCCAUAAAAUCGGCCUCAGUCCGGAUUGGAGUCUGCAACUCGACUCCAUGAAGUUGGAAUCGCUAGUAAUCGUGGAUCAGCAUGCCACGGUGAAUACGUUCCCGGGCCUU
rnacentral:rRNA from 1 species